rnacentral:pre_miRNA from 1 species
AAUAAUUACAGUUUUGUACUAUUUACGUUCAAUGUUUGACUGUUUAUUUUAUUUAUUUUUUUAUUAAUAUUUUUAUUGCUAUUAGAUAAUAAAACAUGAAUAAUAAUUUAUGUGUGACUAAAUAUUUUUAUUUUUUUACAAAAUUUUUAAAUAAGACGGACGUUUAAACGUUGAGCACGGAUAUCCACGGCUGCACUUAUU